AUAAGGCUCAGAUCUGUAAAGACCAGGCAAGAGGGUAACACCGCCAUGGCUGCAACCCAUCCGGGUCGCCCCGCCAAGAUACGGGUCACAUUCACUCUGACCCGAUUCAACUCAGAAAAUCAAAUAAUAUAAUCAUCACAGCCUCUGUUAAUAUUUCCAUUACAUAUACUCCCUCCGUCCCAAAAGAGAUUAUUACAUGUGAAGAUGCUGAUGAAGAUGAAGAAGUAGAAGAGCAAGAACAAUGUCUGUGUGUGUAUAUAUAUGUAAUUUCUUCUUUCUAUUUGCUUUACCAGUUUCCCUCUGUCUGUUGUUUACACACAGUGAAAACACACAAGGGUUGUUGAUUUUAGUGGGCAUGAAAUCAUGGGCUGAAAGAUCCAUGGAUCUUGACAGAGAGGGCAACUAACCCUUGCAAACAUCCUUCUCUCCGCCGCCUCAUUCAUUUUUUCUGAGUUUUUUUACAUGCCUUGUGUCAAUGUUGAUCAAUUGUGCUUUAUAGUACUGGUGAUUUUAGUUUGCUUAUUUUCUGACCCUUGGAUUAGGGAUGCUUCAGUUACGUGAUAAAUCAACGGUGUUUGCGCUAUUUGAUUGUCUUUUUUUCUUUUUCGGGAAAUAAAGUGUUACACUAUCCCUAUUAGCUGGCU
rnacentral:lncRNA from 1 species